rnacentral:pre_miRNA from 1 species
AGAAGGCGCGAUUAAUAAUGGUAGCCCCUGACUUCAACAUGAGGAAGAGAAGCAGCUCCUCUUCGUGUUGAAGUCAGGUCUAUCAUUGCAUCC